rnacentral:lncRNA from 1 species
CCGGGCAUGAGCUGUGCUGUUGCCUUCAUCCAAGCCUCUCUGAAGCUUCUGGAAAGGAGACAGUGGAAACUGGGACAUGAGUUUGUGUCUUGUCUGGAUGCUGAGGAAGUCCUAAAUUUGCUGAACCAAAGAGGCCUUUACCUUUCCAUGCUGGAAAGCAGGUUCAGCUGAGAGUGUCUGGGGAAAGGCUGAGUCUGAUGGUCAGACACCAUUCUCUGCUGCUGGUGUUUUGGGUAUGGUGAUAUCUCCUCUUUCCUUCAGUGCCUUCUAACAACUCCUUCUAACAACUAACAACUGGUCAACAAAACCAGUUUUUCACAGUCAUUUUUCAUGCAGUGGAGGAGAAGGAGCCAGUGGGGCUGUGAUGAGGGUGGCCCUCCCAUCACAAACUGGGUCCUCACCAGGUACUCUGGAGGCCGAGCUGGCACUCAGUAAAUGGCCAGAAGGAAAUCAACAGUACCCACAGCUUCUGCCACUGGAUAUGCAGGGUUAUCAAAUAUUUCCCACUGUUAAAACCCUGUAGAAAUGGAAACAGCAGCUUCAGAGAAUUUUUUCUCUCCAUCAUUUCGUUCACGAACCGUCUGAGCUCUGGUUGCAGGAUCUGCCUCUGGAACAACCUUCCUAGGAUGUUUCUGGUAUCACAUUUCUCAUGGAAAUCAGACACGUGGUCAGGAGUGGGGCACGCUGAACCUGACAGUGCUUGAUAAGGCAGAGGGAUGCUCCAGGGGGAGUAACUGGAGAAGAGGCUUGUCACAGACAUCUCCAGCCAUAUUCCCCUGUGGCCUUGGCUUCCCUUCAGCCUUUACCUCUGCAAAGCAAGUUGGAUUGAAGCCACUGGGACUGGAUGCAUGGAGCUGGCAGUCUUGUGCUGCCCACUGCAGUGAUAGAUACCCAUAAUGUCGAUGAUGGAGAAGAGACCAGCCACUCAUCCUUGCCUUGAAAAGCCUGCUGUUGCCAGACAAGGACCAAGGCUCACACCCCACCUUCUGUGCCAUCAGUAACUUCUCCUGAUGUUAAAAUUGUGUUGUCUCUCUUAAUAAUAA